ACUGAUUGAUCCUGUCAGCAGUAUUUGCUUGUUCAGAAGACUAAGCCAUGCAUGUAUAAGUUCACACCUUAAUACGGUGAAACCGCGAAUGGCUCAUUAAAUCAGCUAUUAUUUAUUAGAUCUUACAAGAUUACUUGGAUAACUGUAGUAAUUCUAGAGCUAAUACAUGAAUAUGUGCUUUGGUUCACGCCAAAUGCGAAUUUAUUAGAUCAAAACCAACCGGUUUCGGCCGUUAAAUUGGUGACUCUGGAUAACUAUUCUGAUCGCAUGACCUUGUGUCGGCGACGUAUCUUUCAAGUGUCUGCCCUAUCAACUUAAGUUGGUGAGUUAGUUGCUCACCAUGGUUAUAACGGGUAACGGAGAAUCAGUGUUCGAUACCGGAGAGGGAGCCUUAGAAACGGCUACCACAUCUAAGGAAGGCAGCAGGCGCGCAAAUUACCCACUCUCGGAACGAGGAGGUAGUGAAUUUAAAUAGCGAUGAUGAACUCUUAUGAGGCUCGUCAAUCGAAAUGAGUACAAUUUAAAUCCUUUAACGAGUACCAAUUGGAGGGCAAGUCUGGUGCCAGCAGCCGCGGUAAUUCCAGCUCCAAUAGCGAAUAUUAAAUUUGUUGCAGUUAAAAAGCUCGUAGUUGGAUCCAAGGUUUGGCAUGCCUGUCUGUUCUUAGUAGCAUGACUGUGUGUGUCUGCCUUUAUUAGUUGAAUGUUCAUUAUGGUGGUCUUCAUCGACUGCUAUGAUGUGCUCAACACGUUUACGUUGAAAAAAUCAGAGCGAUCAAGGCAGGCCUUCGUGCUUGUAUGUUGUUGCAAGGAAUAAUAGAAUAGGACUUCGGUUCUAUUUUGUUGGUUUUGAGAAUUGAAGUAAUGAACAAUAGAGACAGUCGGGGGCAUUUGUAUGGUGGCGUUUGAGGUGAAAUUCUGAGAUCGUCGCCAGACAAACUACUGCGAAAGCAUUUGCCAAGGAUGUCUUCAUUAAUCAAGAACGAAAGUCAGAGGUUCGAAGACGAUCAGAUACCGUCCUAGUUCUGACCAUAAACGAUGCCGACCUACAAUCGGGGGUGGUUUAUUAUAUUGACCCUCCCGGCUGUCCUCAGGAAACUUUAAGUUGGUUCUGGGGGGAAUAUGGUCUCAAGACUGAAACUUAAAGGAAUUGACGGAAGGGCACCACCAGGAGUGGAGCCUGCGGCCUAAUUUGACUCAACACGGGGAAUCUCACCCGGUCCGGACACUGGUAGGAUGGACAGAUUGAUAGCUCUUUCUUGAUUCAGUGGGUGGUGGUGCAUGGCCGUUCUUAGUUGGUGGAGUGAUUUGUCUGGUUAAUUCCGAUAACGAACGAGACUCUGUCCUGCUAAAUA
rnacentral:rRNA from 1 species